UAGGGAAUCUUCGGCAAUGGACGAAAGUCUGACCGAGCAACGCCGCGUGAGUGAAGAAGGUUUUCGGAUCGUAAAACUCUGUUGUUAGAGAAGAACAAGGACGUUAGUAACUGAACGUCCCCUGACGGUAUCUAACCAGAAAGCCACGGCUAACUACGUGCCAGCAGCCGCGGUAAUACGUAGGUGGCAAGCGUUGUCCGGAUUUAUUGGGCGUAAAGCGAGCGCAGGCGGUUUCUUAAGUCUGAUGUGAAAGCCCCCGGCUCAACCGGGGAGGGUCAUUGGAAGAUGGGAGACUUGAGUGCAGAAGAGGAGAGUGGAAUUCCAUGUGUAGCGGUGAAAUGCGUAGAUAUAUGGAGGAACACCAGUGGCGAAGGCGGCUCUCUGGUCUGUAACUGACGCUGAGGCUCGAAAGCGUGGGGAGCAAACAGG
rnacentral:rRNA from 1 species